rnacentral:rRNA from 1 species
CAGAGGUUACUGCUAUCGAGAKUSGACUAAGSCAUGCGAGUUGAAUGUUCUUCGUGAACAUGGCGGACUGCUCAGUAACACGUGGACAACCUACCCUUGGGUCCGGCAUAAUCCUGGGAAACUGGGAAUAAUUCCGGAUAGGUCACCGAUGCUGGAAUGCGCGGUGGCCGAAAGCUCCGGCGCCCGAGGAUGGGUCUGCGGCCUAUCAGGGUUGUAGUGGGUGUAACGUACCUACUAGCCUACGACGGGUACGGGUUGUGAGAGCAAGAGCCCGGAGAUGGAUUCUGAGACACGAAUCCAGGCCCUACGGGGUGCAGCAGGCGCGAAAACUUUACAAUGCGGGAAACCGUGAUAAGGGGAUCUCGAGUGCCAGCAUAUAAUGUUGGCUGUCCAGAUGCCUAAAAAGCAUCUGUUAGCAAGGGCCGGGCAAGACCGGUGCCAGCCGCCGCGGUAACACCGGCGGCCCGAGUGGUAACCGCUAUUAUUGGGUCUAAAGGGUCUGUAGCCGGCCAGGUAAGUCCCUUGGGAAAUCUGGCAGCUCAACUGUCAGGCUGCUAGGGGAUACUGUUUGGCUUGGGACCGGGAGAGGUGAGAGGUACCUUGGGGGUAGGGGUGAAAUCUUGUGAUCCUCGAGGGACCACCAGUGGCGAAGGCGUCUCACCAGAACGGGUCCGACGGUAAGGGACGAAAGCUAGGGGCACGAACCGGAUUAGAUACCCGGGUAGUCCUAGCCGUAAACGAUGCUCGCUAGGUGUCAGUCACGGUGCGACCGUGAUUGGUGCCGUAGGGAAGCCGUGAAGCGAGCCACCUGGGAAGUAUGGCCGCAAGGCUGAAACUUAAAGGAAUUGGCGGGGGAGCACUACAWCGGGUGGAGCCUGCGGUUUAAUUG